GAAUCAAGGGGACAUAAUAUAAUCAAGAUGACUGAAAGUGUCCUGUUGAAUAUAGCAAUAUCUUUUAGGUGUGUGUGCUCAGUGCACAGUGUCUUUCUGGCAGCCAUUUUAUGCAAAGUAGCUCCUCUGGCCUCGGUUGUUUAGACCAGGCAUGCAUCCCUGAUUCAAGUUGGGCCAAAGUCUCCUCCUCAGGAAUCUGGAAUUGGGACAGAGAGAAAGAGUCUCUGAACCUGGGAGGGAUGACAACGUACCAUGUAUAUGGAGUAUCAGAGAGCACUAGUAUGGUGAGAAAGAAGAGUGCAGCAGGCUGCAGAGAGAAGCUGCCAUGAGAGGUGCCUGGGAGGAACCCAUGUUGUCGAUGGCUUGCUAUUUCUUGGUUCCAAUCU
rnacentral:lncRNA from 10 species